AUUGAACGCUGGCGGCAUGCUUUACACAUGCAAGUCGAACGGUAACAGGUCUUCGGAUGCUGACGAGUGGCGAACGGGUGAGUAAUACAUCGGAACGUGCCUAGUAGUGGGGGAUAACUACUCGAAAGAGUAGCUAAUACCGCAUGAGAUCUACGGAUGAAAGCAGGGGACCUUCGGGCCUUGUGCUACUAGAGCGGCUGAUGGCAGAUUAGGUAGUUGGUGGGGUAAAGGCUUACCAAGCCUGCGAUCUGUAGCUGGUCUGAGAGGACGACCAGCCACACUGGGACUGAGACACGGCCCAGACUCCUACGGGAGGCAGCAGUGGGGAAUUUUGGACAAUGGGCGAAAGCCUGAUCCAGCAAUGCCGCGUGCAGGAUGAAGGCCCUCGGGUUGUAAACUGCUUUUGUACGAAACGAAAAGCCUGGGGCUCCUAUCCCCGGGUCAUGACGGUACCGUAAGAAUGAGCACCGGCUAACUACGUGCCAGCAGCCGCCGUAA
rnacentral:rRNA from 1 species